AGAGUUUGAUCAUGGCUCAGAACGAACGUUAGCGGCGCGCCUAACACAUGCAAGUCGCACGAGAAAGGGCUUCGGCCCCGGUAAAGUGGCGCACGGGUGAGUAACACGUGGGUAAUCUUCCCUCGAGCGGGGGAUAACAUUCCGAAAGGAGUGCUAAUACCGCAUAAGACCACGGAGUCGAAAGACUCUGAGGUCAAAGCUGGCCUCUAUAUAUAAGCUAGCACUUGAGGAUGAGCCCGCGGCCCAUCAGGCAGUUGGCAGGGUAACGGCCUACCAAACCUAGGACGGGUAGCUGGUCUGAGAGGAUGAUCAGCCACACUGGAACUGAGACACGGUCCAGACUCCUACGGGAGGCAGCAGUGGGGAAUCUUGCGCAAUGGACGAAAGUCUGACGCAGCGACGCCGCGUGAGUGAUGAAGGCCUUCGGGUUGUAAAGCUCUGUGGGGAGAGAAGAAUUAGUGGAGGCUAAUCACUCCAUGAUGACGGUAUCUCCUUAGCAAGCACCGGCUAACUCUGUGCCAGCAGCCGCGGUAAGACAGAGGGUGCAAACGUUGUUCGGAAUUACUGGGCGUAAAGCGUGUGUAGGUGGCUGCGUAAGUCGGAUGUGAAAGCCCUGGGCUCAACUCAGGAAGUGCACUCGAUACUGCGUAGCUUGAGUACCGGAGAGGUUGGUAGAAUUCUCGGUGUAGAGGUGAAAUUCGUAGAUAUCGAGAGGAAUACCUGUGGCGAAGGCGGCCAGCUGGACGAGUACUGACACUGAGACGCGAAAGCGUGGGGAGCAAACAGGAUUAGAUACCCUAGUAGUCC
rnacentral:rRNA from 1 species